GCCACUAAAGUUUCCUGCUGCCCUCAUGGCUUCAGGGAUGCUCAGUCACGUCACUGGGAGGAGAUCCUAGUGUGUCCUGUCCUCACCUGCUACAGGCAUACUUGACUUGAACUAUGUUUGUUUUACUCCAACGGACAUUUUAUGUCACAAUGUUUACAGUAGAGACAUACCCCUCCACCAUUGACCCUUUCCACACUGCUGUACCCACCGGGUGAUUUGCAUAUUGUGCCCUAGGGGAGGAGGUAAAAGCUCAGCUGUAACCUUGCCUUGACAGACCAGGACUCCUCAGUUCACCUUCUCACAAUGAGGCUCUCUGCUCAGCUCCUGGGGCGGCUAAUGCUCUGGGUCCCUGGUAAAGACAGAAAAAAUACGAUGUGGGAAAAUGGGGUCAGAAGGAUCCAAUGGAGAUAUUGUGAUGGCCCAGACUCCACUCUCCUGGCCUGUCAGCCUGUCAGCCCUGGAGAGCCAGCCUCCAUGUCCUGCAGGUCUAGUCAGAAUCUCUUGUCCAGUGAUGGAUACACCUAUUUGGAAUGGUACCUGCAGAAGCCAGGCCAGUCUCCACAGCUCCUCAUCUAUUUUGUUUCAAACCGGGCCUCUGGAGUCCCAGACAGGUUCAGUGGCUGUGGGUCAGGCACUGAUUUCACACUGAAAAUCAGCUGGGUGGGGGCUGAGGAUGUUGGGGUUUAUUACUGCACGCAGGCUCUACAGCUUCUUCCCACAGUGGUACAACCCCAUAGAGAAACCUGCCUGCUGGGGUGUCCCAGCUGCUCACAUGCACUGCUUGUCUGGGGAGCAGGUCAGCAGGGUCUCUGAGUCUGCAGAAGAAGAGGCUGUUGGAGAAUUCAGGGCAAAGUUUGUUGCUCAGGACUCCGGCCCAUGAGAGCCUCAGCUGCACCUCAGUCCCACAUGUUAAGGCCCCAUCAGCUGUCACAUGUGGCCACGUGCUCUGAGAACAGCCAGCUCUGAUGAAGGAAGAGUGAAUGAAAGCUCAUCCUCAGCCUCCCUGUCUGGCCCACAUUUGUCGAGUCCAUUUAUCUGUAGAACAAUCAGAUCAUGGAUGCAGGUUAGUGCUAACUCAAGUGAAAUACAUGUUGGAAAUGACUGGUUUGGGGAUAGUUUUAUACAUGGUAACACUUGGUCAUGUUUGGAAAUUACUGUCUUCCCACUUUCCAAGCUUUCUCUCUCCUUUACCACUCACAUGAACCUACCCUUCCUAGUAGUAUGGUGGAGAAAGCAUUUUACACCAGCUAUUUUCGCGGGAGUAUGGCUAAGAAUAAUCAGUUAUAAUGUUUGAUUUUUUUUACUACUUAUAGAUUUUUAAAAUCCAGUGGAAAUAUACAUCCUAAUACCAAAAUAGUUUGAUUUACCUUAAUUACCUUUUGCUGACAAAAAAUGAGGUUCUUAUAAUUCCAAAAGUGGGAUAUGAAAAUAAACAAAAUAACUCAGAAGGAAAACAUAAAGUUUACAUAACGUACCAUAAGAACAAUGCAGAACUGUAUGAGGCUUUUAUUCUCAAAUUCUUAGAAUUUUAAAAGUAUUUUACUGACAUAGUACUUUAGAGAGGAAAUAUUUAGUACUAUGUUGUCAUAAGAAAAUCAUUCAAAGAAUGAAUAAAUGCAUUAUUUUUAUGUGACACUAUUUUUUCCUGAAAAUAAAUCUGAAUCCUCUAUUUUAGUUGUAAAUGCAUAGAAAAAUUAUGCUCUUAAUAGAUUCUAUUGACAAUAAUGUUCUAAAUUUAUAUGCUUUCUUAAUACGAGGGCUACGGUCUGAUACAUAUCUGUAUACGUUUUGCCAUGCAAAUUUUAAACCUAACAGACAUGCUUUCUGUUAAAAAAUCAGUAGUGCUUUCUCCACCAUAAUGCUAGAGAGGGCAGUUUCGUGUGAAUGGUAAAGGAGAGAGAACGUUUGGAAAGUGGGAAGAGAGCAAUUUCCCAAUAUGACCAAGUGUUACCACAUAAAAAAACUAUCCCCAAACCAGUCAUUUCUAACAUGUAUUUCACUUGUGUUACCACUAAUCUGCAUCCAUGAUCUGAUUGUCCUGCCAAAUAAAUUUAUAUGAAUCCGAGUAAUGAGUGAUGCCUUUUACAUGUGACAACACGGUGUAGAGAGAGAAAAAGGCUGAUUGAAUCAAUAGAACAAGAUCCCGAUGCAGGCUAAUGGUUUAAAUUAUGCUUGAGAUGAUUUAUAUUAAGAUAACAGAUUCUGUAGUAAGUGCAAUUAAAAUUCCAAUGUGUCAUUUCUGUUAGGUUUAAAAGUUGCAUGGCAAAAUGUACAUACAUAUUUAUUAGAUCGUAGCCCUCAAAUUAAGAAACAUAAACACUUAAUAUGUUAUUCAAAAAUACUAAUUAAUGCAUCAUUUAACCUAAAUGUUAUUACAGAAUGCAGUAAAAGAAAAUAAAAUGUAAAUAGCAAGAGCAGGAGCUAAGCAAUGCCAUCGUCACUUUUAGCCCUCCUGUGAUUGACAGCACCUAGCCACCUUGAGUUUCUGCUUUUCUAUGAGACAGGAGAUAAAAUCAAAACCCAUUCAAGGUGGUUAGAUAUAUUUUUAGGAAAAGCAAACAAAUGUACAACCUACAUGAUGCUGAUAUCCCAAAGGUCUAUACUCUCAAGUCAAAUUGGUGAAAAAUGCAUGAUUCCAAAUCUGAAAGGGGAGAGAUACAAGGAGAAUCAGAGCAUAAUCAAAUUUAUUACAAAAAAGCCUCAAAAUAUGGUGGACUAAAUGGAACAAGGUUUCUGUGUCUGUGCCAUGGCAGUGCAGAGGCAGGCAGGUGGCCUUGGUGAUGUAGGUGGCUCUGCUCCACGAGGUCAGUCAGGUAGGCAGGAGGCACGAACACCCUGAGGACACAGCCUUCCUCCUACCUUAGAGUCCCUGUCCCCAUGGCCAUCCUCAGCAGCAUGAGGUGGGACAGAGUGGAGAGAAAGUUGUUUUUUCUAAGGACCAAAAAUAAAAACAGAAACAAAUAAAACCUUGAGCUUUCCAUCAGUGACAAAUGUACUUUUGACUCAAUCACAGAUUUGAGAAAUUUUCCAUUGAGUGGAUCUCCUGAUAAAGCCACAUUCGUUGUUUGUUUGUUUUAAUCUGAAAAUGUGUUUACAUGAUUCUUGUAGAUUUUUUUUGACAACAAACUUACAUAUGUGGUAGCCUAUUUGAAGUUGUCAUUUACUAUUUCAUAAUUGCUGCUAAAAAGUUAUUUGUUAAAAA